UCUGGUCUCCCCUAGUUUCCCUGUUCUAGUUCCCCGGUGUCUCUGUUCUGUUCUCCUAGCCCUCUAAGUUCUUGUGUUUAGGCGCCGCCAGAGCCCUCCGGCGUUCCAAGUCACCGGCUGAGCCCUCUGGCGCGCCCAGCCUGUCGUUGCCUAGUGCAUGCAAGUCGCCGCCAGAGCCCUCCGGUGGUUAUAAGUCGCUGUCUGUGCCCUCUGGUGCGCCCAGCCUGUCGUUGUCUAGUGCAUGCAAGUCG